AUGAUGAUAAAAAGUUAAAAUUUAUGGUUAGAAAAAACUGAUUAACCGUGAUUAAAUCCGACUAGGGCGGACUGAUAGA